AGUUUGAUCAUGGCUCAAAUGAACGCUGGCGGCAGGCCUAACACAUGCAAGUCGAACGGAGUUAUAUUGUAGCUUGCUAUGGUAUAACUUAGUGGCAGACGGGUGAGUAAUGUAUAGGAAUCUACCUAGUAGUACGGAAUAAUUGUUGGAAACGGCAACUAAUACCGUAUACGCCCUACGGGGGAAAAAUUUAUUGCUAUUAGAUGAGUCUAUAUUAGAUUAGCUAGUUGGUGGAGUAAUAGCCUACCAAGGCAAUGAUCUAUAGCUGAUCUGAGAGGAUGAUCAGCCACACUGGAACUGAGAUACGGUCCAGACUCCUACGGGAGGCAGCAGUGGGGAAUAUUGGACAAUGGGCGAAAGCCUGAUCCAGCCAUGCCCCAUGAGCGAAGAAGGCCUUUGGGUCGUAGAGAACUUUUAGGAGGAAGACAAUGACCGUACUUACGUAAGAAACCCUGGCUGACUCCGUGCC
rnacentral:rRNA from 1 species